rnacentral:rRNA from 1 species
UACGGAGGGAGCGAGCGUUGUCCGAAGUUACUGGGCGUAAAGCGCGCGUAGGCGGGGGAUUAAGUGAGAAGUGAAAGGCUGGGGCUCAACCCCAUGCAGUGCUUCUCAUACUGGUCUUCUUGAGGGUGGUAGAGAGAAGUGGAAUGGCUGGUGUAGCGGUGAAAUGCGUAGAUAUCAGUCGGAACACCAGUGGCGAAGGCGGCUUCUUGGGCCAUAACUGACGCUGAUGCACGAAAGCUGGGGGAGCAAACAGG